rnacentral:rRNA from 1 species
GACGAACGCUGGCGGCGUGCUUAACACAUGCAAGUCGAACGGAGAUUAUUAAUGAAGCUUGCGAUUUAAUAAUCUUAGUGGCGGACGGGUGAGUAACGCGUGGGCAACCUACCCAUAAGCGGGGGAUAACAGUUGGAAACGACUGCUAAUACCGCAUAAGCUAUUGAGGUCGCAUGACCUAAAUAGUAAAGGUGGCGAAAGCUAUCACUUAUGGAUGGGCCCGCGUCUGAUUAGCUAGUUGGUGGGAUAGCAGCCUACCAAGGCAACGAUCAGUAGCCGGCCUGAGAGGGUGGACGGCCACACUGGGACUGAGACACGGCCCAGACUCCUACGGGAGGCAGCAGUGGGGAAUAUUGCGCAAUGGGGGAAACCCUGACGCAGCGACGCCGCGUGAGCGAAGAAGGCCUUAGGGUCGUAAAGCUCUGUUGUAAGGGACGAAUGUUUAUCUGGCGAACAGUCAGAUAAAGUGACGGUACCUUACCAGCAAGCCCCGGCUAACUACGUGA